rnacentral:rRNA from 1 species
UAAGGAAUAUUGGUCAAUGGACGCAAGUCUGAGCCAGCCAUGCCGCGUGAAGGAUGAAGGUCCUCUGGAUUGUAAACUUCUUUUAUCUGGGACGAAAACGGGAUUUUUAUCUCAAUUGACGGUACCGGAGGAAUAAGCACCGGCUAACUCCGUGCCAGCAGCCGCGGUAAUACGGAGGGUGCGAGCGUUAUCCGGAUUUACUGGGUUUAAAGGGUGCGUAGGUGGGCUUAUAAGUCAGUGGUGAAAUCUCCGAGCUUAACUUGGAAACUGCCGUUGAUACUAUAGGUCUUGAAUUAUCUGGAGGUAAGCGGAAUAUGUCAUGUAGCGGUGAAAUGCUUAGAUAUGACAUAGAACACCAAUUGCGAAGGCAGCUUACUACAUAUAAAUUGACGCUGAGGCACGAAAGCGUGGGGAUCAAACA